rnacentral:rRNA from 1 species
UACGGAGGGGGCUAGCGUUGUUCGGAAUUACUGGGCGUAAAGCGCGCGUAGGUGGUUCGGUAAGUCGGAUGUGAAAUCUCCAGGCUCAACCUGGAGGGGUCAUUCGAUACUGCCGUGACUAGAGUUCGGUAGGGGAGUGUGGAAUUCCUGGUGGAGCGGUGAAAUGCGCAGAUAUCAGGAGGAACACCCGUAGCGAAGGCGGCACUCUGGGCCGAUACUGACACUGAGGAGCGAAAGCGUGGGGAGCGAACAGG